UAGGGAAUCUUCCACAAUGGACGCAAGUCUGAUGGAGCAACGCCGCGUGAGUGAAGAAGGUUUUCGGACCGUAAAGCUCUGUUGUUGGUGAAGAAGGAUAGAGGUAGUAACUGGCCUUUAUUUGACGGUAAUCAACCAGAAAGUCACGGCUAACUACGUGCCAGCAGCCGCGGUAAUACGUAGGUGGCAAGCGUUGUCCGGAUUUAUUGGGCGUAAAGCGAGCGCAAGCGGAAGAAUAAGUCUGAUGUGAAAGCCCUCGGCUUAACCGAGGAAUUGCAUCGGAAACUGUUUUCUUGAGUGCAGAAGAGGAGAGUAGAACUCCAUGUGUAGCGGUGGAAUGCGUAGAUAUAUGGAAGAAUACCAGUGGCGAAGGCGGCUCUCUGGUCUGCAACUGACGCUGAGGCUCGAAAGCAUGGGUAGCGAACAGGAUUAGAUACCCUGGUAGUCCAUGCCGUAAACGAUGAGUGCUAAGUGUUGGGAGGCUUCCGCCUCUCAGUGCUGCAGCUAACGCAUUAAGCACUCCGCCUGGGGGAGUACGACCGCAAGGUUGAAAC
rnacentral:rRNA from 1 species